rnacentral:rRNA from 1 species
UACGAAGGGUGCUAGCGUUGUUCGGAAUCAUUGGGCGUAAAGCGUGCGUAGGCGGCUUAUCAAGUCAGCUGUGAAAGCCCAGGGCUUAACCCUGGAAUUGCAGUUGAAACUGUUUGGCUAGAGUAUGGUGCGGGAUAGUGGAAUUCCUAGUGUAGGGGUGAAAUCCGUAGAUAUUAGGAGGAACACCGGUGGCGAAAGCGACUAUCUAUGCCAUUACUGACGCUGAUGCACGAAAGCGUGGGGAGCAAACAGG